UAAUCGGUUGUAAUUUAAUAAUUGUCACAUCGCUACCGCCAUUCGUUGCGCCGCUGCUGAUAAUUGCUGACUAGUUGUACCGCCGUCGGCACAUUCGUUUUGUAUUUUCGGACCUUGAUAGUGAGGCCGGUUUUGUGCCUGGCCGAUCAACUGGAGGAGCUGUGGUCGUGUAGUUUUUAAUUAAAAUCUCGACGGACGCUGACAAACCAGCGAUAAGUGAUUGGAGUGAUAGAGUGUUUGUUUUCGUUGUAAAACAAUUUCAGGUCACAAAUAGAGUGUCGGCUAGAGCUGUGGCGUCUUUGAAGUGUCGGCUGCCGCUUUAGUUAAUCACGUUUGUUUGGAACCUCUUUUUUAUUAUUGAUUAUAUAGUCAACACAACGGAUGAAGCAAUCGAUGCUGCUGCAGAAGAAAUUGGGCGCAUGUUGAGGUACAUUCAGACGAUUAUCUUUGACUCGUAAGAAAUGGUCAUCGCUUUAAGUUUGGCUGUAAACACUUCCUACAAUCACAAAAAAGAACGUCACCCGUUUCGCGUCGUAUCAAAAACCGGGCAAAUGUAAUCGAAACAUCCGGCCAAUUCUCUCUAAUAUGUCACACCGUGCGGAACGAGGAUUAGCUAACCGCGAAAGGAUUUGACAGGGAUUCGAACCGUAUCAAUCGUGUCCGGUGGCGGGGCCAUUCCAGCUGGCAGAUUGGUUCGAAUGAGGAUGGAAGUUAUUUUCGUCCGCUUUUUCGUGGCUAUAAAUGGGCACUGGAUAGAUGGCUGGUGCAGUGAAAUAAAUUAUGAAACUGUCAAUCAAGGCAUGAACCGAAAACAUCGCUAAUUAUAUAAAGGAUGGUAAACAAACUCAUUGCCAUCCUAGUUCACAUUGAAUUAUGAAACAUGUUCUUUAGUUAGGGCACCGAUGUGUCGACCAUGUUGCUCACAAAGUUCUGUGAAGUCGUCCAGAAAGAUACAAGGAGCGUAGUAGGCCCAAUUUGAGAUGGAGACAGCUAGAAGACAUCUGCCAUUUAGACCGAAAAACGGAUCGAAUGAUGAAGGCUUAUUUCUUUUAAAAAACAACCUUGUGACACAUCCGCUAUCGAGACUUAAUGCAUUACCACGCAGCCGGAUAGUC